UCACGCCACCCCAACGUCCUCUCCUGCCUCCUCCUUCCACUGAUGAUCACGCUGGACUCAUGAUUCCACUGGGCCCAUCUGGAUGACCGACGAUAAUCUCCCCAUCUGACAGUCUGCUCGUGAGCAGCCUUAAUUCCACCGGCUGCCUCAGCUCCCUUUUGCCACGUCAGGGAGCAUACUCACAGGUUCCGGGGAGUAGGAAGUGGCCCUCAUACCUACCACACUGGUCCACGGCAGAAUGACAAAAAUGACAGUGUGCCGCUUUUCCCAUGAAGACAGUUUUUAAAAUUAUAAUUUUAAAAUGAUAUGCCUCUGAAUGUAUGCCUUCUCACUUUGGGGGGAUGGGCUGUUAAAUAUGAAAUGUAUCAAGUAUGAAAUGUCCUUUCGAGAAAAAAAGGAAAAGUUGGAAAACUGCAGUUUUCCUGGUCCAUGAAGUUCCAACUUGUGGGAAACGAUACUUUGGGCUAAGUAGUCCCACAGACGCACUCCCCAGAGCAUCACAGGCACGUGCCAGAGGCUGGCAGCUCGGGGUGCUGCUGCAGGCCUGGGGUCCUCCACGUUAUGGAAAUAUGAGGGUGCCAAUGACAGGUGCUUCUGAUCCCGUUCCGAUCGGCUCCCUGAUCAGGACACAUGUUGGGCUGAGGCGUGGGGCCCAGGCUGUCAGCAACCACAAGGUAGCCACAAGAGAGAAACAAGUUAAACCAGAAGCAACUUUAAAAAAUCUUCUAAGUCUGGUGGGCGUGUCCAAUGGUUUUGAUGUCAAGAUGAUGACAAAUUCUCUCCAGAGAUGGUAUAAAAUCCAACCAUUGACAAGCAGAAAUUCCUGGAAUCUUCUACCACUCUACAGCACUAGUCUAAAAGAACACAGCUUUUAG
rnacentral:lncRNA from 1 species